GACGAACGCUGGCGGCGUGCCUAAUACAUGCAAGUAGAACGCUGAAGGAGGAGCUUGCUUCUCUGGAUGAGUUGCGAACGGGUGAGUAACGCGUAGGUAACCUGCCUGGUAGCGGGGGAUAACUAUUGGAAACGAUAGCUAAUACCGCAUAAGAGUAGAUGUUGCAUGACAUUUGCUUAAAAGGUGCAAUUGCAUCACUACCAGAUGGACCUGCGUUGUAUUAGCUAGUUGGUGAGGUAACGGCUCACCAAGGCGACGAUACAUAGCCGACCUGAGAGGGUGAUCGGCCACACUGGGACUGGGACACGGCCCAGACUCCUACGGGAGGCAGCAGUAGGGAAUCUUCGGCAAUGGACGGAAGUCUGACCGAGCAACGCCGCGUGAGUGAAGAAGGUUUUCGGAUCGUAAAGCUCUGUUGUAAGAGAAGAACGAGUGUGAGAGUGGAAAGUUCACACUGUGACGGUAUCUUACCAGAAAGGGACGGCUAACUACGUG
rnacentral:rRNA from 1 species